UACGGAGGGAGCUAGCGUUGUUCGGAUUUACUGGGCGUAAAGGGCGCGUAGGCGGUCGUGACAAGUCACUUGUGAAAUCUCCGGGCUUAACUCGGAACGGUCAAGUGAUACUGUCGGACUAGAGUACAGAAGGGGCAACUGGAACUCUCGGUGUAGCGGUGAAAUGCGUAGAUAUCGAGAGGAACACCUGCGGCGAAGGCGGGUUGCUGGGCUGAUACUGACGCUGAGGCGCGAAAGCCAGGGGAGCGAACGGG
rnacentral:rRNA from 1 species